UACGAAGGGGGCUAGCGUUGCUCGGAAUUACUGGGCGUAAAGGGCGCGUAGGCGGACAGUUUAGUCAGAGGUGAAAGCCCGGGGCUCAACCCCGGAAUUGCCUUUAAGACUGCAUCGCUAGAAUUGUGGAGAGGUAAGUGGAAUUCCGAGUGUAGAGGUGAAAUUCGUAGAUAUUCGGAAGAACACCAGUGGCGAAGGCGACUUACUGGACACAUAUUGACGCUGAGGUGCGAAGGCGUGGGGAGCAAACAGG
rnacentral:rRNA from 1 species